rnacentral:lncRNA from 1 species
AAAAAUCAUAAUCUGUACUGAAUUACAGUUUUAAUUUUUCAGUGUUUCAGGCAAGGGUAUAAUUGAAAUGAAGUGGAAAUUCAGGAAUAUUAACUUCUAAAAAAUUAAUUUUUAAAAAGAUUAACUUUUUAAAAAGAUUAAUUUUAAGUUCAAUGUUUUAUAACCACAUGGCAUUUUAAUUUGUCAUUUUGUUAUUUUCUAUCUUUAAUCCGUUAUGCCUUUAUACUAUCUGAUCCAUCAGCUAGUUUCUCUCCUGACUAGCUAACAUUCUCAGUUGGAUAGAUUAUAAACAGAAUUAACAGGGGUUACAUAGAAGCAUGCAUAAGCUUGCCUUCAGACUGUUGUUGUUACUGACAACUGUUGGGGAAUAAAAUAGCAAAUGAGUGCUGUUUCAUAAUAUCAAUCAAAAACUGUUUUUCAUCUGACAGUUGUUGUAGUGAUGUUAUUUUGUUAUUUCAUAGUUACUUUUUUG